rnacentral:rRNA from 1 species
CCUACGGGAGGCAGCAGUGAGGAAUAUUGGUCAAUGGACGAGAGUCUGAACCAGCCAAGUCGCGUGAAGGAUGACUGCCCUAUGGGUUGUAAACUUCUUUUAUAUGGGAAUAAAAUGUUCCACGUGUGGGCUUUUGUAUGUACCAUAUGAAUAAGGAUCGGCUAACUCCGUGCCAGCAGCCGCGGUAAUAAGGAGGAUCCGAGCGUUAUCCGGAUUUAUUGGGUUUAAAGGGAUCGUAGGUGGAUUGUUAAGUCAGUUGUGAAAUUUUGCGGCUCAACCGUAAAAUUGCAGUUGAAACUGGCAGGCUUGAGGACAGUAGAGGUGGGCGGAAUGCGUGGUGUAGCGGUGAAAUGCUUAGAGAUCACGAAGAACUCCGAUUGCGAAGGCAGUUCACUGGACUGCAACUGACGCUGAGGCUCGAAAGUGUGGGUAUCAAACAGGAUUAGAUACCCCUGUAGUC